GUGCUCACUUUGGUAGCACAUAUACUAAAAUUAGAAUGAUACAGAGAAGAUUAGCAUAGCCCCUACACAAGGAUGAUAUGCAAAUUUGUGAAGCAUUUCAUAUUUAA